rnacentral:rRNA from 1 species
AUGGAAGAAGAGUUGGGCUCGAUCCAUAACAAUAAUUCAUGGGAGCUUGUGGAUCUUCCCAACAAUGAAAAACUGAUAGAUCUCAAGUGGAAAUUUAAGAUCAAGAAAGAUGUUGAAGGGUGCAUGAAGCACAAAACGAGGCUAGUGGCUAAAGAGUAUGUGCAAGAGGAAAGUAUGGACUUCGAAGAAGUGUUCGUUCCCAUUGCAAAGAUGGAGUCGGUGAGAUUACUCAUCGCUCUCGUGGCUCAGGAAUCAUGGAAAAUACAUCACAUGGAUGUAAAAUCCGUGUUUUUGAAUGACGAGUUAGAAAGAGAUGUGUAUGUGAAUCAGCCACCAGGAUUCAUCAAAGAGGGAAAAGAGCACAAGGUACUGAAGUUACAUAAAAUCUUGUAUGGGCUAUGGCAAGGACCUCGGGAGUGGAACAUCAAACUUGAUCGGACAUUGAUUUCUCUUGGAUUUGAGAAGGCCCCACUAGAGCAUGCGAUGUACAGGCGAGGUGAAGGAAGGGACCGUCUACUAGUUGGCAUGUACGUCCACGACCUAUUGAUAACUGGAGCAGAUGAAGAGGUGAUUGCAAAGUUCAAGCUACAGAUGAAAGAGCUUUUCAAGAUGGAUGAUCUAGGUCUUUUGAGCUACUACCCCGGGAUAGAGGUACAUCAAAAGACGAAGGGGAACACACUAUGCCAGGAGGCAUACACAAGGAAGGUACUUCAAAUCCGUGGCAUGAAAGAUUGCAAUCCAGUUGAUGCUUCAAUGAAACUUCGUCUUGAGCUGAGCAAGAAGAGUAAAGUACCCGUAGUUGAUGCAAUAGAGAAUGUUGCAACGGCCAUUGCGGCGUGUCAAGGUGUGUGGCUAGCGAGGCUACAUGGUGAUCUCAUGGAUCGAGAUCCGGGACAAGUGGUGCUCAAUGUUGAUAGCAAGUCUGAAAGUUUUCUACGCGAAGAUCCAGUGUGGCAUGAUAGGAGCAAGCACAUUGAUACGAUGUAUCACUAUAUAAAGGACUGCGUGGAAGAAGGCAAGACGGAGGUCAACAACAUUCGCACCGAUGAUCAGAUGGCAAACAUGCUAACCAAGGCUUUGGAUCGAGAGAAGUUCUUGGAGAUGCGAAGAAGAAUCGGCGUCGGAGCUGUGACGUGA